CUACCAUGCAGUCGAGCGAUGAAGCCCCUUCGGGAGUGGAUUAGCGGCGGACGGGUGAGUAACACGUGGGUAACCUGCCUCAAAGAGGGGGAUAGCCUCCCGAAAGGGAGAUUAAUACCGCAUAAUAAGCAAUUUUCACAUGGAAGUUGAUUUAAAGGAGUAAUCCGCUUCGAGAUGGACCCGCGGCGCAUUAGCUAGUUGGAAGGGUAACGGCCUACCAAGGCGACGAUGCGUACCCAACCUGAAAGGGUGAUCGGCCACUUGGGACCUGAAAGACGGUCCAAACUCCUACGGGAGGCACCAUGGGGGAAUAUUGCACAAGGGGCGAAAGCCUGAUGCACCACCCCCCCGUGAGUGAAAAAGGUUUUCGGAUUGUAAAGCUCUGUCUCUGGGGACAAUAAUGACGGUCCCCAAGGAGGAAGCCACGGCUAACUACGUGCCAGCAGCCGCGGUAAUACGUAGGUGGCGAGCGUUGUCCGGAAUACUGGGGCGUAAGGGUGUGCAGGCGGAUAUUUAAGUGAGAUGUGAAAUACCCGGGCUUAACCCGGGCACUGCAUUUCAAACUGGAUAUCUAGAGUGCAGGAGAGAGAAUGAAUUCCUAGUGUAGCGGUGAAAUGCGUAGAGAUUAGGAAGAACACCAGUGGCGAAGGCGAUCUCUGGACCGUACUGACGCUGAGGCACGAAAGCGUGGGUAGCAACAGGAUUAGAUACCCUGGUAGUCCACGCCGUAACGAUGAGUA
rnacentral:rRNA from 1 species